CAAACGGGUGAGUAACACGUGGGAACACGCCUUCGAGUGGGGAAUAACGCUGAGAAAUCAGUGCUAAUACCGCAUAUGGUCUAACGACUAAAGCACAAGUGCGCUCGGAGAGUGGCCCGCGUCCGAUUAGCUAGUUGGUGGGGUAAUGGCCUACCAAGGCGGUGAUCGGUAGCUGGUCUGAGAGGAUGGUCAGCCACACUGGGACUGCGAACGGCCCAG
rnacentral:rRNA from 1 species